AAAAUUUAGUAGGAGACUCGGGAAGAGUCUUAAAAAAACUACUUCCUGAUGCGGUUCCAAUGGCAUCGAUAGUAGAUCAUAGUGUCAACACAGAAUUGAGUAAAAUAUCGAGAACAGAUGAUACACAGAGAAAUGUGACAGGCACUGAUCAUGGCACAAUCGGGAUCAGCCUUGCGAGUCGAAUUUCGUACAGCUAGUUGCUGUCGCAAGCAACGAUGAAAAUUUGGCUUUAUCACAUUCUAUGACAGUAAGAACAUCGACUUGUACAUUGUAAUAUGAUGUGAUUUACAUUACAAUUAAUUAAAAUAAUAAUAUUUAAUAAAUAAUAUUUUCACAAA